AAAAUUCUUAUUAUCCCUAUAUCUUAAUCACAACCCCAAAUCUACAAUACAUUUUUUACAAAAAUGAAAACUUUACUAAAAUAGAAUUUUUAGUAUUUUAUUUUAAAAAUACAACCUAUGAAUCAAAAAAGCUAAAAGAAUAUUCAUGUAUCAACAACAAAACUGGCUAUAAAAAAUCUACAAUAUUUUUCUACAAAAGUGAAAAUUUCACUAAAAUAGAAUUUUUGAAAAUAUUAUUUAAAAAAUACAACCAAUUGAUUAGAAAAUCUAUAAAAAAUGCUCGUUUAUCAACAAAAAUUAUUGUUAUCCAUAUAUCUUUAUCACAACCCCAAAUAUACAAUAUCUUUCUAUAAAAUUGAAAACUUUUAUAAAAUAGAAUAAUUAGAAU
rnacentral:lncRNA from 1 species